rnacentral:rRNA from 1 species
GAUGAACGCUGGCGGCGUGCCUAAUACAUGCAAGUCGAGCGAACAGACGAGGAGCUUGCUCCUCGGACGUUAGCGGCGGACGGGUGAGUAACACGUGGAUAACCUACCUAUAAGACUGGGAUAACUUCGGGAAACCGGAGCUAAUACCGUAUAAUAUAUUGAACCGCAUGGUUCAAUAGUGAAAGACGGUUUUGCUGUCACUUAUAGAUGGAUCCGCGCCGCAUUAGCUAGUUGGUAAGGUAACGGCUUACCAAGGCGACGAUGCGUAGCCGACCUGAGAGGGUGAUCGGCCACACUGGAACUGAGACACGGUCCAGACUCCUACGGGAGGCAGCAGUAGGGAAUCUUGCGCAAUGGGCGAAAGCCUGACGGAGCAACGCCGCGUGAGUGAUGAAGGUCUUCGGAUCGUAAACCGCUGUUAUUAGGGAAGAACAAAUGUGUAAGAAACUAUGCACGUCUUGACGGUACCUUAUCAGAAAGCCACGGCUAACUACGUG